rnacentral:rRNA from 1 species
UACGUAGGGUGCGAGCGUUAAUCGGAAUUACUGGGCGUAAAGCGUGCGCAGGCGGUUCGUUGUGUCGGUGGUGAAAGCCCCGGGCUUAACCUGGGAAUGGCCAUGGAAACUGGCGAACUGGAGUGUGGCAGAGGGGGGUGGAAUGCCGCGUGUAGCAGUGAAAUGCGUAGAGAUGCGGCGGAACACCGAUGGCGAAGGCAGCCCCCUGGGCUGAGAUUGACGCUCAGGCACGAAAGCGUGGGGAGCAAACAGG